rnacentral:lncRNA from 1 species
UUAAACUAUCUAAUAAAAUUUAGAAUUUUUAAUUGUUAAAAUUAAAAGUUGACCAAUUAUAUUUUAGAUAUUUCAAAAAAUUUUAAAUAUAAAAUUAAUUGCUUAUCAGACUAUAAAUAUGGCAUUAAAAUUUAAUAUUAAAAUCAAAGUAAAAAUAUAUAAAAUUUUUCUAAACUAUAAACCAUUUUGAAUCAGCUAUUUAACCGUUAAAAACUCUAUUUUUAAGGCUAAAUUACAGAAAACCUCAUUGUCGAUAUCUGCUUUUUUAUUUUCCCCCGGUGUCUUUUAAAAACCUACACUUUGCCUCUUUGAAAUAUGAUGAAUGUUCGCUUUAGCCCCCCACCAUCGGUAUUUCGUUAGGAUUCCGUUUAUAUCCGAUUAUCAUAUAUUUUUAUACCCAAAAUAUCCUCAGCCUCCUCCCCGCCGCCUCCUUUAACUCGCCGCCCACGCCGCCUUGCCAACUCCGCCACCUCACGCUCCUUCGCAGCCUAGCCUUGGCCACCCCUCCAUCCGCGCCCACACAUACGCUUUGGCACUCCUUCGCGGUCUCGCCCUUGCCCUCACCCACCUCUCCGUCCAUACCCACCCCAAUAUUCUCCUUAUCGUCGUCGAAAUGGAGGGGGCGACAAGGGUGUAGGAAGGAGCAGGGGAGCAGGUAGAGGAAAUGGAGUCAAAGUUGUAAUUGAGCGAGGCGCGAAGAACGGAAGAGGAGAGGCGACGGCUGAGCAAGAUUGGGGAGAAGAUAAAGAUGGUGAGGGGCAAUAUGGUUAUUUUAUCAUCACAGUUAACACCGUACUUUUCCGUAAAUAUUUUUUAUUUUUCAAGGGGGCAAAAUAUGGGUUUUUAAAUGAUAGGGGGAAAGUUAAAAAAGCGGGUAUUGAUAGAGAAUUUUCUAUAAUUUAGUCUUUUUAUUAUCCAAUCUUUCGACAUGUUAGAUUUGAAUCAGUCAAUGAUAUUUUGACUUUAAAAUUUGAAUAUAUCGUUUAGCUCUACAAAUUUAAUUUUAUAUAUACUUCAUUAAUUCUUGCAACUAAAUUUAUUAAAAUAAGUAUUAACUUAAACUCUAUUAAUUUGUUUUAAAAAUUUUUUUAUUUUACAAUCUAUAUCUAAGUGAUAAAUAUUAUAAAAUUAAAAUUUUAUGUUUAAUUUAUGUAAUCUAAACUAUUUAAAAUUAUGUUUGAAAAAUUAUAUAUUUUAAUUUUUGUAAUGAUAGAGAAGCAAAUUAGAUUGAAUUAAAAAAAGUCCAAUUCUCUUAGUCCCAAUAAAUGUAGAGAGAAAAUAAUUAAAAUAAAAAAAAAAAUCUCCAACCUAAUCCGACCCCCACCCAGCCCCCCUCCAGCUCCACGUGGCUUAAAACAACUGAAAAUUCAUUAUAUAGAAUAUAUCUAUAAUCGAUAUCUAUAAUCUAUAAAUUUCUAUUAUUUUUCAAUAACUGCACACAUGGCAGCGGGAAGCGGAGGCGCGGGCGAGAGCGUGGGGCGGAGGCUCGGGCGCAGGGUGGGCGAGGGCGUAGGCGCGAGGGCAGGCUCCGGCCCUGGCGCGGGGGUGGGCGCGGGGAUGGGUGCGGGCGCUGGCGCGAGCAGGCGCGAGCCGAGAGGCGAAGGGGCAGGGCGUGGGCAUGCGCCGGCGCGGGCUCAGGCACGGGGCGAGCCGGCGCGGCCUUGGCGUGGGCGCGAGUACGAGCGGGCGUGAGUGGGCGGGGGCGAGCGCAAGGGGCAGAGGCGCGGGCUGGGGCGAGCGCCGGCUCAGGCCGGAGCCGGCGCGGAGGCGCCAGCCCAGUGUGGACGGGGCUGGGAGCGGACCGGGGCGCAGCGCAGCGCGGGGGAGCAGGCGCGCGGGCCGAGAGAGCGGCGCGCGCGAUGGUGGGCCCCUGCGGGAGGGGCGGGGAGGGCCCAACGAGGGAAAGGAUUUUUUUUUUUUCUUUAAUUAGGGGAAGUUUUUUUUUUUUCUUUAACCAGGAAGGAUUUUUUUUUUUUUUAAUCAGGGGAAGGAUUUUUUUUUCAUUUCCUAUUUAGAAAAAAAUUAUAAUUUUUAAAAAUUUUAAUCUACUUUUUUUAUUAUAAAAUUUAAAAUAUAUAAAUAAUUACUAAAUAGUUUAGACUAUUGAUAACUUGGUAUUAAAUAUAAAUAUUAAUUUUAUAAUAUUGAGAAUUCAGAUAUAAAUUAUACAUUAAAAAAUAAAAAAAAGAUUAAUAGAGUUUAAGUUAGUUUUAUAUUUUACGAAAGUUAGUUGCGAGAAUUACAUGAAAGAUAGUAACUAAUAAAAGAUUUCUCUUCUUAUUUUAUUAAUUCAUGGGGGAUUAUCAUGACUAUUAAAAAUUUUGAAUAUACUAUUUGCACCAUUUAUUUCUUAAACACAUGACGAUGUUUGGAAUAAUUAGCAUCGGGUAAUUUCAUUUGUACCCCUUAAAAGAUUAGAAAUAACAUAAAUAAUAUUACAAAAUUGGUAAUAUAAAAGUAAACAAAAGAGAAUGAGAUAAGAAAAUAGUUAAUAAAGUUGAAGAAUUAUUUCAAAAUAAUUUAUUGUUGAGAGAGCUCCUUAUAUUUGCUAUGUUAGAGAAGAUAGUUAUAUUUAUUUAAAAUUAUUUCGUAAUUUGUCAGUAGCAUUUCAUAAUUAUUCUAAAAUUAAUUUUUAUAACUAAUUUUAAAGAUUAAAUUUUAAAAUAACUAUUCGCAGUAUCGCAGGUCCUUAACUAAUUUAUAAUGACAGGGAAGAAAAUUAGUUUGAAUUAAAAAAAUUUCAAUUCUCCCGGUCCCAAUAAAUAUAGAGAAAAAAUAAUUAAAAUGAAAAAAAAAUCUCCAACCCAACCCGACCUGCACCUAGCUGGGGCCCACACCCAUCCCCAUCGCCUCCCCAGCUCCACGUGGCUUAAAACAACGGAGAAUUCAUUAUAUAAAAAAGAAAAAACUUCAAAAAACCCCAUAUGGUUUCAUUCAUUCUCACUUUAGUACCCUUUGAUUUAAAGUGUAUCAAUUUGCACCCUGUGGUUUCGUUUUUAUUUUUUCGGUAGCUUUUUCGUUAAUAUUUUAUUAAAUUAUAUACAAAAAACUUUAGAUAACGAUCUAGAUUUAUCAAAUAUUCAUUUUAGUAUUCUUUAAUUUUAACUUUAUCAUUGAUUUAAGAAAAAAAAUUAAUAAAAUUGAUAAGAAAAAGAGAAAAAAGAAACUACGGGGGGCAAAUUGAUACAUUUUAAAUUACAGAGAGGCAAAGUAAGAAACUAUGAAACCAUAGGAGGUUUUUUUUGAAGUUUUUUCUAUAAAAAAAAAUAAAUUUGUCCAUCCGUCGCAUCAAGUCCAAUGCACUGACAAUUAAUUCAACCUUGCACACCACACUAAUCAUUUCUUUUGUUGACGUAAAGACAGAUAUGCUAUCAAACUUUUCUAAACUUUGGAUAAGCCGACACCAAGAUUGAUUCGGAAUAUCGGACGUGAUUGCAAUCUAUAUGAAUAAGCAGGAUUUUAUUGGAGUUUGCGUGACUUAUUCCGUCAAAAUUAAUAAAAUUUUAAAUGGUUAUAACAAAUUUGGAACAAAUUAUAAGGGUUAGGGACCUAAUAGCAAAAAUUAAAAAAAGAAAGUUGGAAACCAAAGUUUAAAAGAGUAAAGAUUAGCAAUCAAUGAUGCAAUUAGCCAUUUUUAUUUCACUAAAAAGUUCAAAGGAUUAAUUGAAAGAAUAGUCCCCAGCCUUUAACCGAUAAUCAAUUUGAUCCCCAACCCUUUUUUUUUCUCGAAGAAGGUUUUUAAACUUUAUUAUUUAUUUUAACUAGUAUAGGAUUCGCCCUUUGCGGCGGAUAGAUAAUAUUUCAUUAUUAAAAUUUUAAAAAUAAAAAAUAUAUUAAAAAAUAUAAGACAAAUUAAAAAAUAGUCUUAUAUAAAUUAUAAAAAAUAGUUUUUUAAUUACUAUUUUCUUAACUUUCAAUAUUUAUAGAGUUGAAUUAUUUUAAUAAUUUUAUUUAAAAUUUUACUAAAACUUUAUAGUUUUGAUGGCAUUCUUUAAGUAAAUUUUUUAAUUAAAAGUUAAAGUUGGAGGAUUUAUUUCAAAUUAAAAAAUAGGUGAGAGUAUCUUUAUCUUACUAANGGCUUCUUAGAAUUUUAUAACAACUAUUUACUCGUAUUAUGUGUAUCAUCGAUUACUAACCAAAUUAAAAAAGCCAAAGUUUGUACAGUUAACAAUUCUGUAAUUGAGAUUUUUCCAUUUGGUUAGUGAUCAACGUUGUAUAUCUUUCGGUUGAAUAGUUCUUGUACGAGACAGACUCUAUGUGUAUUAUUUGAUAAUAUACCAGAGUAAGUUUUUUGAAUCUAUACAUUAUCGUAAUUACAAAUUCACGUACAGUGUACGGUGUAAUUCGAUUAUUCAUGUAGAUUAUGUUUUCAUAUGAGUUGAUCCUAUAUUGACCUUGUAUGGCGCUCCUCGAGCAGUAAGCGCCCGAGGCGAUGAUCCCGAAGCAGCUGACGCCGCUAGCUGCGGGAAACGAGGAGCUCGACAAUGGAUUAUCUUCAACGUACGGUCGUUUUAUCUUAUUUUUAUCGAAGUUUCGUCCUUUUUGUUUUUUUCUUCUUCUUCUGAACGAUAUAUAAUUGUACUUCUUAUAUUUGACCAUCCAAGGUUGUUUCUCAAGUCACAUUCAAGGUUUCUAUUUCUUAACGAGAUUCCUGGUUUUUAACCGAUAGAUAAGGAAGUCUAAUCACUUUCUAUGGAUCUUUUUAAUUAAUAAAGUAAGAUUAUAUUUACAGCGUAGUGGGUUGUUUUUGAAUAGUAAUGUGUUCUUUUGAUAAUAUAAUUGUGAUAACGAUCUUCAACUAUUGAGUUAUGAGUUGGUUUUUAGAGAUAAUAACGUAAAAUUUUUGUCUAGUACUUGUAUAUUUCAAGAACUUAUUGUGUCAUAGCGUUAAGAUAUCCAUUCUUAAAUAGUAUGAAGAUUGUAAUAGUUGUUGUUGGUUUCAUUGAGUGACCUUUCAGAUGCUUUUAUAGCCGGAUAAAUCCGGGUAUAACACUACUAGGUUAUUAAUCUUUGAUCCAGAGUGACCUUAUAGAGGAUUUUUUCACAUAAAUCCAUGGGUUCACAGCCAAUACUCUAGUCUUUAAGCCCGAGGACAUAUACUAAUUUACUUACCAAGUACAAGGAUCCAAGAUUAAUCGUAUACAUAUCCUUAUUUUUUUGGAGUUCCUGUUACCUCAGACGUUUAUUUUAUUUUGGAGUUUUUCUUUUCAUUUAGAUGUUGUAAAGAUUCCUCAAGAGGUACUGUAGUGUUACUCAUGUAUUGAAUUUUUUUGUGCUGGAUCCCUGAAGCUUCUUGCAAACGUAAUAGAGUAAACAGUUGUGUUCUAUAUAGGUAGUAAUCUUCUAUCUUAAAUUAUGACUGUAGGAAGAAUUUGUGUUAUAGAUUGUUGAUGUUGAUCUGUUUUUACAUGUCUACAUGACUUAAUACUUUACAAUUGCUUUGUUUAUUACUUUUAUUUAUAAGUCAUUAAGGGUUAUAUUUUAGUAUUUGAAAGUAAUACUAAGUAAAUUUUUUUAAUUGUACAGGAAUGCGCAAGACAAAUCGACUUUUGGAGAAUAUUUUAAUUGUGCAGGAAGAGGCAAGACAAAUCGACUUUUGCAGGAUUAAGUUUCUUCGGGUCCAUUUCUUUUUGUUUAGAGAUUUCGAAAUGGGCAUGACUAGAAAACUGCUUAUUUUAAAGAUGCAUAUGACAUCGAUCUUUAUGUUUUGAGAGUUAUUACUUGAUGUGAAUUUGUUAUAACAUAUAUUUGAUUUUGUGGUUGUUGGAAAAAUGUUUUGUACAAACUGUUAUAUUUUGGAUAUGUACAAUGCAUUUUUCAUGUAUGGUUUAGAAUCUGGCUAGUACAAGUUAUGUUCUUUUUGUAGUUUCUUAUUAUUUAUGUAAUGCUCUUGUAUAGAAAGUAUAAUGUUUAAUUCAAUGUAUCUUAUAAUACAUACUUUUUGUGAGGAAUUUCAGAAAAUGGCUACAAAAGAUCGACAUUAACACUAGCAAUUUUUAUAUGACCAAAAAACUAUUGUUGCCACAGUAGUAAUAACUUUUUGUGACAAAAUAUAAAGUUUGGACACAAAUAUGCAUAUUUUUGUUACGAUUUUUAAUAUUCCUCACAAAAAGUCAUUAAACUAUUAGAAUUAUUGUAAUAUGAAACACUAUUGUGACGAACUAAAUGGCCACAAAAGUUUAAAAUAUUUUAUGGCGAUUUAUUUUCUCCGUUAAUAACUAUUAUUUCACAAUGUGUAAAAUGGUAUCUGCGACGAAUAUUUUCGUCACAAAUAACAAAUUGUUUUGUGGCGAAUUUUAUUUCCUCACAAUAAUUACUGUUUUUUUACAACAUAUAAAACAGUAUCUGCGACGAACAUUUUCGUCACAAAUAAUAACUUGUUUUGUGGCGAAUGUUUUUUCCUCACAAUAAUUACUAUUUUUUCACAAUAUAUAAAAGAGCAUCUGCGACGAACAUUUUCGUCACAAAUAAUAAUAUAUUUUGUGGCGAAGAUUUUUUCCUCACAAUAAUUUUUAACAGCGGGGUUAUUAUGGCGACGCUGUGGCGGAAUAAAUUUGGCCACAAAAACGUUUUUGUGGCGAAAUAUGUACUUUUUGUGGCGAAAAUGUGCUCCACAAAAUGUUAUAUUUCUUGUAGUGCUUCAAAUGUUUGAUGGUGCAUGUUUCUAUUGUGGCUAGAAAUUUUCUUUUCCACGCCUUAACUUUUAUCUUCUAGAUGGUUGACAAGUUGAAUUUGAUUGUGUAGAUUGAUUAUAUAUAUUUGGAUUAAUUUUUUUCAAUCUUGAUAUGAACUCCUAAUUGUAUUAUUUAGCAAAUAAAUAAUUCUUAAUUUGCUAUAACUUUCUAUGACUCACCUUAUGUAUUUAUUUAAAAAAUUCAUAAAAAUAUAACUUAUUAUUAUUUUAUAUUUUUUUUCUCAUAUUAUCUAUCUGCUGCAUCGCGCGGGUCACUACUCUAGUUAGUUUUAAAAUCUCUAUUAAAGAAUGUUGAGUAGGUGGCACAUUGUACAUAAAUACAUCUGGGUGCAGAUUAUGCUUAGUACAGUGCACAUAUAAUUUCAAAAGAGAUAGCCAAAUAAAAUAAAUGAUUGUUUUGGCAAGACUUUUACAUCUAUACCUUUUUAACAUAUAUGAAGCUGGAUAUACGAAUUUUUUUGAUAAAGGCACGAGUCGAAAUUGGAAACUCCAUUUUAAAGAGAUCAACCUAAAUAAUAACCACUACACUAAACUAAUUGUUAUUCUCGUGAAGCCGCGAGAUACUAAGGUGUGAAAAGUUUUUUUCUUUUAUUUUAGGAAAAAGGUGCGAGGGAUAAGGGUAAGGUGAUUUAUUUUUUUUGUCAGAGAUAAAUAUAUAACAGGCUAUCCGUCUCGUUUAUUUUAUUUUAAAAUAAAUUUAAAUAAAAAUAAAAAUUAAUGAAUAUUCACAUGUGAAAUUUUAAGUACCAGCUAUCAAACCCUUUAUGACUUGCCGUAGGAUGAGUGGGUGAUAAGACAGUUUUGCUGGGAGUUGGUUUUUGUUGUCUCUGCGUGCUGAAAUACGGAAGUUGAACAGAUGCUGCAACCGGCGGCAUUGACACCUCAUGUGCUCCCACGUUGUCGGCCUCCAAAUCCCCCACGGCUGGCCAGAUCUCACGCCUAAAAUUACAAAAGUACCCCUUGUGUUUUGUCCCGUCUCGGUGAGUACUUGUUUGAACAUCGUCUUAGUCUCAGUGGCUGUGUUUGCUUUUUACGUAAAGUGAGUACUAAAUAUUCUUUUUGAUCUGAUUUUACAAUUUUAUCUUCGGUGAAAACUCAAUACUCCCGAAAAUAUAUUUCGAUCCGUACAAAUCAAUAUUAAUUAUGAAAAAAAAAAGAAGAUAGUAAUCCGCCUCUUAUACCUCGACUUUUUGACACGCAAAUGGAAAAACUUAAAAAACGUUCAGAUACACAAUUAUAGGAACAAACUUUCAAAGAAAGAUAAUUUUUAUCUAAAUUCUAUUUAGUUCGAAAGUCUAUUUAAACCUAAAUUUCACCGUCAGUAAAAUCUAAAAGUUUUGAAGGCAAUAAGAUAAAAAGAUAUUUCAUUUAAAUUCAGUUCGACUAGUUGGUUCGUGAAUCAAUAUUUUUAACAGGGACGAAUCAAUUUGGAUGACUAAAAUAUUAUGUUGAAUCGUUCAAACCACAGUUCGACCAAUAAAUGGAAGAACUGUUCUGGUAUUUGCGGAAUUGGCCAGAUGGUUUUUGUUUUUUCCUUGUAGAUUUUUGGUUGGAUGGUCCAAAUAUUAGGAGCUUGAUUGGUUCUUUCAUUUUAGACUAUAAAAUCGAUAUGGAAUUCAUUGAUUCCGACAAAUGUUAUUUACUUUACAAAAAUCAGAUUUUGACUUCGGUUCCACCCUAAAAUUGGAAUCGCCCAAUCCAUUUAUGGCCCAGUCUGGCUUUGAAUUUCGAAUCGGCCCCGUCCAAAAUUAAUACCACUCAAAUCCUUCUCUCAUAUAUACUACCUACUCCUUUUCCUUCAUCACUCUCCUCUCUUUUAACCAAAUUCCUCUCGCAUAAAUUUAAAUUUUCAUUCACAUUUCUAUUCCAAUAAUGAGUUAAUCAAACAUUUUUCACUGACGCGUCAUUUUAUUUUUCAUUCUAACGCAAUCCAUUUUUUUUUUAUAACUAUUCUCAUCAUGAACCAAACAUGCAUGCUUUGAGAGAAUGAGUUUUGAAAAGUUACCCUGAUAAAAUUUUCAUUUCUUUUACAUUUUAUUAUUUUAUAAUAAAUUGGAAAUAUAUUUUGACUUAUUUUAAUAUAUUAAACUAACAAUUAAUAGUUUAUGACACUCUGCUUGUCAAAGAAUAUGGUUAUUUUUUGAAUUACUUUCCAUGUAUAGAAUUUCCAUAUAUUGUAUUUCCAUUCUUUUGUUAAUUGUAUAUUAUAAAUCAAGAUGAAUAAUAUUGUUCAGUAGAAUAGAUCUGAACUUUACAAUAUCUCUUCUCAAAUUUCUACUCUUUGAAUAAAGUUCACAUGGUAUCAGAGAAAGGUUUAUCCUUCGCAUUUUGCUAUUGUAUUUUGCCUUGGUAAGCAAUAGCAUAUUCAGUGCAGAUUCUGCACGUAUUGAUUGUUGAGUUCUCGAAGGCCGUAGCAAAUGGCAUCGACUCCACCUAGCGGAGGUAGUGCUGUAACCAUGGGAGAAGUUCAAGGUACGCCUGGAAAUCCACCUAGCAGAGGUAGUGUUGUAACCAUGCGAGAAGUUCAAGGUACGCCUGAAAAUCCAUGCUUGCAAAUCACACCCUUCAAAUUAAAUGGAAACAAUUUCUUGCCAUGGUCUCAAUCAGCUACACUUUUUUUGAGUGGAAAAUUCAAACUUGGCUACGUGAAUGGUAAAAUUCAAGAACCUCCCAUUGAUGAAACAAAAUAUGAUGAAUGGAAAUCAAAUAAUGAUUUGGUUAUGUCAUGGUUAUUUAAUUCCAUGGAAUCUCAUGUCAGAGAUGGUCUUCUUUUUCUUAAAACUGCUCAUGAAGUUUGGAAGACAUUAAGUGAAAUAUACUCUGAAAAAAAUAACAUUGCCCGUGCUUAUCAGUUAAAACAGGAAAUUGCGCAUUUUCGCAAAGGAGAUAAGACAUUUAACGAAUAUCUUGGGACCCUUCGUGGUAUGUGGCAAGAACUAAGUUAUUAUGUUCCCAUUUCCACUGAUCCCCAAGUUAUUCGAAAAAGGAUUGAACAAGAUCAAAUUUUUGAAAUGCUCGCGGGACUUGACUCUGAUUAUGAAGCAAUUCGAAGUCAGAUCCUUAUGCAAUCUGAACUACCUUCUCUCAAUGAUGUGUGCGCACUUCUCCAAAGAGAAGAAAAGAGAAGAGCUGUUAUGAAGCCGACUGAGCAAUCUAAUAUGGAGCACUCAGCCUUUUUUUCCAACACCGCUACUAAUAGAGGUCGUGGAGACCGUGGACGCGGCCGUGGCAGAGGACGUGGAUUUGGUGAUCGCCCUCGAUGUUCUCAUUGUAACAAAUUGGGUCAUGUGAAAGAAAGGUGUUGGGAAUUAUAUGGUCGUCCUACGGAGCUACCGGAGGCCAACGUUGCUAAUGCUUCAAAGGAAUCAAAUGUUCCGACAUCAUUGGAGAAAUUAGCUGAACUUCUUGAUGCAUACACAAAGCAAAAGUCAUCCUCUGCACAUGUUUCACUUCACUCAGAAAUAGGUAAGACUGCCUCAGCACAUCUAGUAGAGUCAUCUCCAGCAACAUGGAUUGUUGACACCGGUGCAACAGACCAUAUGACAGGAACCUCUAAAAAUCUUUCUUCUAUGCAACCAGCUCUCGGUAAGAAUUUUGUAACCUUAGCCGAUGGUUCACAUGCUCCAAUUCAUGGAAUUGGAUGUGUUGAUGCAUCUCCUUCUAUCAACUUAUCAUCUGUUUUAUUUGUUCCAUCAUUUCCUUCUAACUUGCUAUCUGUUAGCAAGUUAACAAAAUCUCACAACUGUUCGGUAACCUUUUACCCUCAUCACUGUGUUUUUCAGAACUUGACAACGAGGAAGACGAUUGGUGAGGGGCGUGAAAAGGAUGGACUUUACUUACUGGAUCAAAGUGCUUAUGCUCUAAUUAGUCAUAAUGAAGAUAAUCAUGAAGAUACAUGGCACUCUCGAUUAGGUCACCCAUCUGAUCGCAUUCUUCGUGUUAUUUUUCCUAGCCUAAAAUCUUCAUUUAAUAAUUGUGAAACUUGUUUCUUUUCUAAGCAACAUCGUUUACCUUAUCAUAGAAGUGAUAGUAAAUGUGAUUCCCCUUUUCAUUUAAUUCACUCGGAUGUUUGGGGUUAUGCACCUGUUGACUCAUAUUCUGGUCAUAAGUAUUUCAUUAGCUUUAUUGAUGAUUAUUCACGUAUGCUUUGGGUGUACCUAUUGAAAUCGAAAGGUGAAGUUUUUGAUGCUUUCAAAACUUUUCAUAAAAUGGUUAUAACUCAGUUUGAUGCAAAAAUUAAGAUUUUUAGAUCUGAUAAUGGAACUGAAUAUAUGAACAAAACUUUUAGUAGUUACUUACGUGAAAAUGGUAUUUUGCAUCAAACGACAUGCCCUGGUAGUUCACAACAAAAUGGCAUCGCUGAACGCAAAAAUCGACACAUUUUGGAAGUAGCAAGAUCUUUACUCUUUCAAAUGAAUGUUCCAAAGAUUUUUUGGUCUGAUGCUGUUUUGACAGCCUGUUACAUUAUAAAUAGAUUGCCAACUGUUGUGCUUAAAGAUAUUUCUCCAAUUGAAUGCUUAACUAAUAAAAAACCAUCAGUUGCUCAUCUUCGUGUUUUUGGGUGCUCAUGCUUUGUUCAUGUCUCUGAACAUCAUAGAGAUAAACUUGAUCAUAAAUCCAUCAAAUGCAUUUUUCUUGGUUAUUCUGCAACUCAAAAAGGUUUUAAAUGUUAUGAUCCCAAAAGAAAGAAAACUCAUAUUUCUCGUGACGUACAAUUUUCCGAGUCCACCCCUUAUUAUGUUGACAAGCAAGAUAGUUCCUUUAAUUCUGCUACAUCUCAGGGGGAGUCGUUAAAUUAUUCCGAAUAUUUUCCUUUAUACUCUAGUUUAGAAACAUCUAACAAUCAUUCUGCUGCUCCCAAUUUCGAAGAUCAUGAUUCUUCUAGAUUAUCUCUACCUCACAUUGACAAUCAAAGCAUAAAUACUGAUCAAGCAAGUCAGAGCUCACCAAAAUCACCUCCUCACCAGCCGGCAUCCUUGGAGUUGGGCUCUGAUGGCAAUUCCAAUUCAGGUAGUCAAAGUCCUUUAGUUCUGGAACAUGAUUCUUUGCCUAUUGCUCUACGUAAGGGAAAACGAAAUGCACCUAAAGUUACCUAUCCUAUUGAAAAUUAUAUUUCCUAUCAUACUUAUUCUAACAAAUUCAAAUCCUUUGUUGCAUCCAUUGAUGGAAAUAAUGAACCUACUAGUUAUGCAGAGGCAAUUACUCAACCUGAGUGGAGAAAAGCAAUGAAAGAGGAGCUGAAUGCUCUUGAAAAAAAUCAUACAUGGGACUUAGCCUUGCUCCCUAAGGGUAAAAAACCUGUUGGUUGCCGAUGGGUUUAUAAAAUUAAGUAUCAUCCGGAUGGGCGUAUUGAACGCUACAAGGCACGUCUUGUAGCCAAGGGAUUCACUCAGAUAUAUGGUGUUGACUAUAAGGAAACUUUUGCACCUGUAGCAAAAAUGAGUUCGGUUAGAGUGCUUCUUUCAGUUGCCAUUAAUUUAGAUUGGCCUCUUUACCAACUCGACGUAAAAAAUGCUUUUUUGUAUGGAGAACUACAAGAAGAAGUCUACAUGUCAAUACCUCCCGGACAUCCAAGAGAGGGGGAGCGAGACUUAGUUUGCCGAUUAAGAAAAUCAAUUUACGGAUUAAAGCAAUCUCCAAGAGCAUGGUUUGAAAAAUUAAGUUCAACUAUAACAAGUAUUGGCUUUGUAAGAAAUUCUGCUGAUUAUUCAAUGUUUGUUAAGAAGGAAGGGACGAGCACGACCAUUAUACUUGUUUACGUGGAUGAUAUCAUUCUCACAGGUGAUAAUCAAAAGGUAAUAGAGGAUGUUAAGAAAUGGUUAAAAAUUAUGUUUGAUAUCAAGGACCUUGGCGAAUUGAGAUACUUCCUUGGCAUCGAAGUCGCAAGAUCAAAGAAAGGAAUUUUUCUCUCUCAAAGGAAGUACACUUUGGACUUACUAAAAGAAACAGGUAAACUUGCUUCUAAACCCUUAGGGACUCCUGUUGAUAUUCAUCCUGACCUUAAAAAGGGCGAGUUGAUUGACAAUGUUGGAUUGUAUCAAAGGCUUGUUGGACGUUUGAUUUAUCUAACAAUCACUAGACCCGAUAUCUCUUAUGCUGUCAGCUUAGUUAGUAAAUUCAUGCAUUCUCCUCAAACAUCACACAUGAAUUCUGUGAAUAGAAUACUACGUUACUUAAAAUCUGAUCCAGGAAAAGGAAUUUUGAUGCGAAAGAAUGGCAAUUUAAAUAUUGUGGGCUACUCAGAUGCUGAUUGGGCAGGUUGUCCGAUUGAUAGGCAUUCUACUACAGGAUAUUGCACUCUACUUGGUGGUAACUUGGUAACCUGGAAAAGUAAAAAACAGAAUGUUGUUUCUCGUUCAAGUGCAGAAGCGGAAUACAGAGCCAUGGCAUCAACAGCUUGUGAGUUAGUAUGGUUGAAAGCUUUAUUGAAGGAUAUGGGAUUCAAUCAUGAUGGUCCGAUUCAGAUGAAAUGUGAUAAUCAAGCUGCUAUACAUAUUUCUACAAAUCCUGUUUUUCAUGAAAGAACAAAGCACAUCGAGGUAGACUGCCACUUUGUACGCGAAAAGGUACAAGCAAAAGUGAUUUCUACUCCAUACGUUGCCUCUGAAGAUCAAUUGGCUGAUAUGUUUACCAAGGCUGUUGGGAAAAAUCGGUUGCAGAAUCUGUUGAUCAAGUUGGGCGUGAUAAAUAUCCACGCGCCAACUUGAGGGGGAGUGUUAGAAUUCCUGAUUGAUUGGUCACCAUAGAAAGAAGAUCCUGAUUAUUUGAUCGCCGUAGAAGGAAGAAAAAUAUUUGAUUGGCAUAUCACCAAGGAAGAAUGUCAAAGAAUAUGGUUAUUUUUUGAAUUACUUUCCAUGUAUAGAAUUUCCAUAUAUUGUAAUUGUAUAUUAUAAAUCAAGAUGAAUAAUAUUGUUCAGUAGAAUAGAUCUGAACUUUACAAUAUCUCUUCUCAAAUUUCUACUCUUUGAAUAAAGUUCACACUGCUAAUACUAGCUGUUGAACAUGUUUAAUAACUAGUUGGAUCAUUGAACCUUAAACCAGCAACAUUUUUAGUUCAGUCGCUAGACCGAUUAAUUUAAUUUACUGAUCUCAAUUAGUCCUAUUUAGAAGUUGUCCAAUUCAAGUCUGAUUAUACGCCUAUAUAUAUGCUUUCUGAAAGAUGAGAAAAGUGUGAUAAAAAAGUAUUUUAUUUGUUUUCGUAAAUCAUUAUAGGUCGUAAGAUUACAUUUAUCCAUUUAAGAUAUAAGUUUUACUGUCCGGUGAAAACCGAAAAGGCUUAUUUUUAUAUACUUUAAAUCUUUACUUUUCGGAUCUAACAUUGUUAGCUAUGUAACCCUCACAACUAAAUGUGGCCUAAGUUAGAUAUUUCUAAAAAUUAAGAGUGCUAUUAAUUUCGAAUGCAUGCAGGAUUUCAUAAAAACACUAAAAAAUAUUGGUUACUAGUGUAAUGACCCGCGCGCGCUUUGCGGCGGGAGGUCGUAACGUUGAGAGCUAAUAAUAUGAUUUUCAUUAUAUUUAUUUAUCACGAAACAUACAGAUAUAUAUAACAUUCACAUUAUGUAAGAUAACUAAAUAUAUAAUAUAUAUAGAUUAUCUAAUACGAUGUGAUGUCUUCGAUAAUACAAAUAUAAUUGAUAAAACAGUUCUUAGAUCUGUAGAACGCAGCGGAAGUAUUCGUUCGUACCUUUUUGUGGAAGCGAUUCGCGCUACAACGCGAUGAGCCCGGAUCGUCGAGGUUGAUUCACGUGUCCUUUGAUCGUCCUUGAUUAAAUCUUCUCACGUUCCAAACCCGCGAUGGAUCGAACUACAAACGAGCACGAUCACAAAUCCACCGUUCAAGUCCCUCUUAGAAUAAUAGGUUGAUGGAGGAUAUGGUUUCUCUCUUUCGUUUUCUUAUUCUCUUUUCUUUUUUCGUUCGUGUUCGUUUUAUGUAGGAUCGCCCGUCUAUUUAUAAGGAAUUCUAAAAUCCUAAUAGCGUUAGAGAUAAGGCCAAAUCGGUUAUUAUUUGUUAUCUUAAUAUGAUUAGAUUUAUCUCUAAUUAGCUUUUCAAUUUGAAAGCGAGAUUAAUCAUAAUCCAAUUAGAUAACAUAAUAUCCGUCGGAUCGAACCCGCUUAUGGGCGUACCCAAUUCGAUUUAACCGAAUGCCAACAAGAUCAUUAUGGCCUAUCGGUUCCACUUGAUUUCUUGCGGGUGUUAACUUUCCUUGGUCCUUUUCCAGUCUUUGAACUGCAUACGUUUAAACAAUAUCUCAUAUAUAUAUAUAUAUGGUGGAAUAAGAAAUACAAAAAAUAUUUUAAAAAUAUUAAUACUUACAAACGUGAUUUUUUCGCUACAGCAGAUGUUUCAAUAGGCAAAUCACUAUCAUUGUUGUCGAGCAUCUUCAUUAAUUGAAUUGGUAUGCAACCACUCAGUCAACAUUGUUUUUUCAAUGCUUGGUCUACGCAAAAGACUUUCUAAAUUUUCAGUAUUGUGGAAAAUAAUAUUAUUCAUUGAAGGAAGAUGUACUCGUAGUCUCUCAACCGAUGGUUCUCUAAAAUGGAUAUCAAAUUGGAGCAAACGGCAAGUUGCUUCAUAUGCAGAUAAAUAUUUGCAAUCUAUAUAUGUUUUGAUUUCAUCAAUCUCUUGUUUUUUCUUUUGGUGAACGGCAAUGCUAUAUAUGAAAAAAAUUGGAGGGAGGAUGCAUGCACUCUCAUGAUUAGAAAGAUAGCAAAAGGACAAGACAAUAUUCUAUGUACUAUGGAUUUUUUUAUUUUAUGCACCCUGUGUAUGUAGUAUGAAAAAUUUUGUAAGAAAAAGGGUUAUCUUUUGGGUGAGAUAUUAUUUCUAUUGAACUUAAAAAAGUAAAAGACAAUUUACAAAUAAUCCAUGGUGAAAUUGGAAUGAAAACAGGAGAUUUAGAAUUUUCUGUAAGGAAUAUAAUUUUUUUUAGAAGAAAAUAUACAGUGUAAAAAAAAUAUUAAACAUUGAAUAUAUGCCAGAAUUAUUUUUUUUAGGCUAGAUUUAAAAUUUCGUGCCAUUCUGACACUCCAAAAGUGAGAACGGAAAAUAGUAGUAAUAUGAUAAAGAUUUUAGUUGGUAGACCUUUCGGCGAUAAAGAAAAUUAAGGUUUAGAACUGUAAAAUUAAGAUGACGUUCUUCUGGUUGAUUUUAACUAAGCUUGACUUUAAAAUCAUUAUUGUUUAACAUGAUACAGAGGGUGCAUGGAGCAAAAUUUUUCAUAGUACAUGCCCCUUUAACAUAGCCUCUUGCCUUUAAAAUCAUUAUUGUUUAACAUGAUACAGAGGGUGCAUGAAACAAAAUUUUGCACAGUAUAUGCCCAUUUAACAUAGCCCAUGUGAGUCUAUGUGAGGGAGGGAGAGCAUGUGAGGGAGAGAGGGAAAACCCAUAUAAAAAGAAGGCCACGUGGCUCGAUGGAGGAACGGCAUUUGGUUUCAACUUUAGUAUAGAGUUUAAUGAGUAAGAGGCUGUUUGGUUCCACAAAAAAGCAUUGAAUAAUUUUCCAGAAAAAGAUUUUUUCUUUAUGGGAAACUCGUUUUUAAGUUUUGCUCCUUCGGUUAUAAGAAAAAUUAGCUACCGAUUGGAUGAUCAUUUUAUAGUACUAGGGCAAGUUUUAAACUGCUUCUAAUUUUUUUUUUUGUGGCUCUUCUUUUGGUAGCAUUUUUUUUAGAAAUAAAUUCAGCUAGAAAUGUGAAUCAACUAAGUUUCGAAUUUAGAAUCUCAGACAUCGAUCAACUGUCAAGCCUUUAGCCGGCUAUGCUAGGUACGGUCAAUAUUAAAGUUUUCGCUCUUCAUAAUGUAUCAAAAUGACUGAAUCACAUUCCCAAACUAGGCCUUAGUGGGCAUGCCCACUAGAUUUGGAUUUGGCCCGCCCGAUUGAUGGACAUGCUUUGCUCAUUUGCAUUCUUCUAUAGACCAACUUACGAGCCUGAGCAUCUGUCCGCUCGAUUCAAUUUUUCAGGUUUCUUUUUUAUCCUCACAAUUGGUGUCUGUGGAAUCAAAAGAGAAAAUAAUAAUAAUAAUAACUUGAACCAGAAUGAAGUAGGGGUGGCAACCCAGCUCGCUGUUCGUGAGCCAGCUCGUGUUCGGCUCGAAAUGAGCUUGAGAUCGAAUCGCUCGUUUAAUAAACGAGCCGAACACGAGCCGACCCCAGCUUGCUCAUGUUCGGCUCAUUAAUAAACGAGCCGAACACGAGCUGAAUUUUUUGGCUCGAUAUUUUAACGAGCCAGCAAGCCGAACACGAGCCGACCCCAGCUUGCUCGUGUUCGGCUCGUUUACACCCCUAGAAUGAAGUAAUCCUAUCGGUUCGGUGUCUAUUCAGUUUGAAUAGAAAUUUUUUUGAAUUAAAAACAUAUUAAACCACUAAAAAUUUAUAAAAUAUAGUUAGUUUUAUCUAUCUGAAUAUUUUAAAUUAAAAAAUAAAUCUCUAAUUAUUUAAUCAUAAUUUAACAUUGAUGUAUAUUAAAUUAUUGAAAGUUCGUUAAUUUUCUUUUCGGUUUACUAACAUUUUAAACUGAGCAUAUAAAACCACAUUGCAAAAUCAAUUCAGUUUCUUACUUCGCUUUUUACCACAUAGUGCUCACCAUUACUUACGAAUCAUGCAUGUACAAAGCUGGAAAAGGGGAUCCUUCAGGUUCCCAUGCAUUUCCUAGCUUUGGAAAGUUCCAUCAGUUGCAAUAACAACAUACAAUAGGAAUUAUUACUCUAAACAGUGGAUCAAAUAUUAAUUAAGCUGCGAAUAAUUUGUCUAUUUGGUUUUUUGAGGGGUCAAAGCAUAUAAGACUCUAGAUGGGAAUUUAAAAAAGUUAACAUUAAUUUUCUUCAUGUGAUUUACCGUAAUUUUACUUUGCUACUCUAUGAUUCAAAAAGAAAUUACUUAACUAUCUUGUAAUUUUAAUUUUAGGGUUAAUUACACUAUUAGUCUCCACCUUCUCUUAGAUCUCCACAGGAGAGGCUCCUUAAUUUCUCAAGAUCUUCAAAAAUAUUCCUAAAUGGAGUUCUAACAAAGUUAGAACCUCAAAAAUCUUAAAAUAGCAACUCACAUUUUCUCCUCUAACAAGAAAAACGUGGAGGAGAUGGCUUCUCCUCCCUCCUAGAGUUUUCUUUUGAAGCAUUUGAUCUUUUUAAAGCCCUCUAAGAGAUGGAUCAUCAAGCCCCUCAAUGGAAAAAAAAAAAAAAAAAUCUAGGGUUUCUCUUUGUAGUGAGAGAAAGAAGGCAGAGGAAGCGAAAGAGUAAAAGAGAGGAAAGGUUAGGGUUUUGACUAUUGUUUGGAUUUAUAUAGAGGUGCUAUAAUUUCAUCUAAACCCCCAAUCAAUUCUAAUUACAAUCAGCCAAAUCAGUUAUCUGCAGUGUUGAGUAUCGGCACGCAAGUUAUAGUAUUGGUAUACAAUACUAGGGUUUUGGGACUCCAGGCCAGUUCUACAUGAGCUUGUUUUAGUACUCGUACGUAUGUCACGCCCCGGGCCUUUUUGGAAAGUUAAAUUUAAGAAAUCCCUCUAAUUUAAAAAUAGAGUUUGCGGAAAAGCAUAUAUAUAUUUUUUCUUUUUGUUUUUUUUUUUUUUUUAAANGUCCGAGACAUGCACAGACCCGCCGUACGCAUAAGGUAUCUUUUUCCAUACGGACAGAGUCUCCCAUAUACAUGCUCGAUGCAGGAAUACAAAUAAGUAACCACGAGUAAUCAUAACAAGAUAAUUUCAUUAUGCAACUACUAAUACAUCCAAAGUCAUAACCCAGAAUCCACUAAACCACUACAAUAAGAAAAAUUUAACAUAUCAACUAAACUCAAACCAUAAUAGUGAAGUACGAACAUCUCCAACAAUAUCAAAUGAUAAAGAAAAGUAAAUCAAAGACUACGAUAAGGUCUAAAGCACGAACUGUCUAGGCGAUAACAAACCACAUCCUCACACUGCGCCCCGACCUGCACUGUCAGCAAUACCUGUAAAAAUAAUAGGGUGAGAAACAUAUAAAUAUGUUUCCUAGUGGGGGCAACCAGUCAACUAGGGCAAGCCUCACUCAUUGGCAAAAAAGGGAGUACAAUAAACAGAUAAGAGUAGAAAUGAAAUAGUUAACUACAGUAGCAUCACGGAUAAAUAGAUAAAUGUCAUGAACCAGAAUACAAAUAAUACCACUACUGUAACAUGAAUCAAGAUACUAACCAUGAGGUACCCAGUCAACCACCGUAGCAAGAAAAAUCAGUGAAUAACUGUCAUAAAUAAACAUACAAGGGAUAUCGCUACUGUAAACAAACUCAUAUGCCAACAUAAUAGGAACACCAAUAGUGAGUUGAUGAAUAACAAAUAUCAUAACUCACUAAACGAUGGAUGCCGCUACUAUAAGUUAGACAGCUUCUAACAAAAUUGCUUAUAGUUCUGGCAGGAUAACUCGAACCAAACGCCCCGAAAAUUAACACUACAACAGAAUUAAAUUAUAAAGACACUUUUGUGUAAGUAUCCCAUUUAUGCCAAAUUUUUUUUAAAAAAUCUACUUAGGCCUAAAUAUAAAACCCAAUCAAAUCAAAAAUAAAAAAUUUCUCUAAUCAACCAACCCCACCCAGCCCACUCAGCCCGAUUACAAAUAGAAAAGGAAAAAAAAAAUAAUCACCAUCUUCCCUUCUCAUCUUCUGCCGCCGUAACCAACGAGGUACAGUUCUGGUGGCUAGAGUUCGGCUACGAGGAUCUCACAGUGACCGUAGAGAGCUACGAUCGCUACGUAUUCCUCCGCCACAUGUCGCUGGAUGAGUGAGUGCCAAAUAUUAAGUUUGCCCUACAUAGAGCGGCCCACAUAUAGCAACAUUUUUAGAAAGUGUCGGUAAUUUAGCCAGUAGCACUUUUUUUGAUUUGUAAUCACAUUUAAAAAUGUUACUAUAUAUUGUUUUUGUUGUAGUGUAAUGUGUAAUUUUUAAGUUUAUAGGUUUCGACUUAGCAUACACUACAGUACAUACCGAUCUUCUUAGUUCUCAAACAAUAAUUAUAUGUAAUAAAUUUUUUAAAAAAAUAUAAUAUAAUUUGUCAACAAAAAAAAUUAAAGUCUAGAAGACUAGCUUAUUUAAAAAUUGUUUUUAGGCGAUGGGAUUUCUACAGGUAUUUUGUUUGUAUAUUACAGAAAUUGAUAUAUGUUUGUAGAUAACCAACCUAUAUAUAAAUGAGCAAAUAGAAAUUUUCGAUUUGCUAAGUUUUCUUCCAAAAAUACCUUUUAUAUUUUCAUAGUGUAUCUAUACUUUAAAUAAUUGUUAUAAAUAAUUUUAAUUUAUCAAACCAUAUGAUUUAACUUUUGAACUAAGUUAAGUUUUAAUAAACCGAAACUUAAUUAGUCUACUUUCUUUCUUAUUUUUCAAUCAAAAUAGCUGAAUAUAAUCAAAUAAAAUUUUUACUUAAACAAUAUAAAUUUCUUGAUCUAAUUAAAUUUAGUAAAUAACCUUGAUUUAGUAAAUCCUCCACCAUUAUUCCUAUUUUCACGCCAAAUUAAUUGAUUAUAACUGACGAAUAAAAUAUAUUUAUUUUACUUACACUACUAAAUUCUACAAAAUACAUAAAUAAAAUUAUUUUUAAAAUUUUAUUUUUUUAUGUGAAACAUAUGUCGGAUCGUUGGCGUUAACCACUAAUUCUAAAAGUUUGAGCUGUUAAAACUAUAUAACCAUUUCACUUAAAGCGUACAAAUAUAGCAUCUAAGGUCUCAACAUGUGACUUGGCUAGCUCAACCAGUCUUAUGCCAUUUCGAAAAUGACUCGGUCCAAUUUGACUGGUCUCACGUCAUUUAAUUUGAACAAAACUAGGCCCAACUUAGCCACCUGUCGCAGAGGAAUAUGCUGGCUUCUUUAAGCUAACAAUAUGUAUAUAUAUAUUCAAAAAGCUGAAAAAGAAGAAGAAGAAGAAAGUCCUUGCCAUUCUCCUUUAUAGAUAAUAGUUCGACGAGAGCGUCAAAGUAAGAUUUAUUGGUGGAAAAUCCAACACUCUAGAAACCUAUGAUAGGCCAUUUCUUUUCACAAAUCGACUGUGUCCAACCCACUGAUCAAUUUCUUAAUUACAAAAGUUAAUCAAAAGUUAAACCACCCACUCGAUCGCACGUAACUUUAACGAACUUCGAAUCCAAUUAAUGACUUUAUGUAAUUUGAUACACCGGAGAAUUUUAGUUGUUUUUUUUGUUAUUAAUUGUUAUAUAUGAUUAGGUAGAUUGUAAAGUACACUAACUAAAUAACCACUAGUGGCUCUUACACUUUUUUAUAUAUAAAAAAAAUCUAAUAUUUAAAGAAUAGUAUCAAAUGCAGAAGCUUUUGUUUGAUGUUUCUUAAUUAUUUUGCAAUAUUGCCACUGAAUCAAACACACGUACUAAAAGCAUUAAUUGCUUAGUUUAUAACUUUGCAAAUAUGUACAGCCAAGUUUGUUCAUACGAUGGAUAAAAAUAUAUAUUUUUUUAUACUGUAAAAUUACGAUGCCAACUACAACCAGAAAAACAUGUAUAGGGCAAAAAAUGAUAAAAAAUUUGAAAAUGGUUGCUUUAAAAUUUUAAAUCUUUUAAAAUAUAAAGUAAAUGUUUUUAACCAUCACAAUAUUACCAAACUAGUUGUGGCUACAACUCACUCAGCUAGUGACUUGACAUACAUAUUAAACCAGUUGCGUGUAGACACAUAUAUGGAUUUAAAAAGAAGUAUAUAUAGCGACAAAUAGAAAAGAGUAAUAGUACGUAGCACCACAUAUAUACGAAUCCUAAUCCUAAUCACUUUGACCCAAGCAUCUGCUAAAGCGAAAAGCUAGUGAGAAGAGAUAAUGCCAGCUUAGUCAACACAACGCACUAGCUCGCUCCAAAGUAGUCUCAUAUUUCACACCAUGCAAAAGCAAUAAACACCAUGCAUGCAACUAAAGCCCUAUAAAUAUCCAUAUCCUAUCUCAUCUCACUCCGCAAGGUAGCCUGAUCGCUUUACAACAAUGGCUCACAACACUAAUAUUGUAGCUCUUUGCUUCGUAGUUUUGCUCGCCGUUGGCUUGUCCGAUGCGAUGAGGCUCGGGACAAAAGCCGGUGGUGGAGGUGGCGGCAGCGGUAGCGGAGGCGGUGGUGGCGGUGGCUUGGGGAUUGGCUCGGGCUCCGGUUAUGGUUCAGGCUCCGGGUAUGGCGAAGGAGGCGGAGUCGGAGGCAAUGGUGGUGGUGGUUAUGGAAGAGGAGGCGGCGGCGGUGGCGGUGGUGGAGAAGGUGGUGGUAGCGGGUCGGGUUACGGCUCGGGGAGCGGGUACGGGUCGGGGUCCGGAUACGGUGAGGGUGGUGCGCAUGGCGGAGGGUAUGGAAGUGGCGGAGGCGGCGGCGGCGGCAGUGGCGGCGGUGGCGGGAAUGGCAGCGGUAGCGGGUCGGGUUAUGGGUCUGGUAGUGGGUCCGGAUACGGUGAGGGUGGCGCGAAUGGANGGGUGGUGCGCAUGGCGGAGGGUAUGGAAGUGGCGAGGGUGGCGGCGGCGGCGGCGGCGGCGGUGAAGGGUCUGGAUUUGGGCAUGGAUCCGGGUAUGGAUCAGGGUAUGGUUCUGGGUACGGGAGUGGUGGUGGAGGAAACCCUUAAGUGAGUCAUGAUCAAGAAGAGAAAUAGCUAGUUUUAUGGAAUCCCAGGCACUUGCAUGCAACGUUCGUGCUAUAUUCGAACGUAGUACACGUCACACAGCAACUACUAUGUUAAUUACUUGCCUUUUGGACGAAUAAAAAUGGGGUUUCUAUAUUAUAAAUAUAGUGUAUUGUGUCAAUAUAUAUUUCUCCGUCUGUUUUUACUUGAUCAAUCUUUAUAGUAAUAUGAUAUCAUAGUUAACUUUAAACCAAUUCUAAACUCUCCUCCAUUACGUAAAGUAGAACAAAAUUUAAGGAAUUUAUAUUUCCCUAAUUUUGGUAUAAUAGGUUAUAUCCCCAUUUUCUGUCUCAUCUAUUAAUUUAAUGUAUCUUUUAUAUCUAUUAUGCACGUGAAUGACAAUGUUAAUAUACUUCAGGAUUUGUUUUCUCUAGAUCGAUCUUUUGGAGUAAUAUAUUGGACUGAUAUUAUUUAAAGAGUUUGACGGUUCAAUCUAAGAUUACAUAAGGGGAGCGGAAGAGUAAAGGCUAUCCUCAUGCACAGCUGUACACAAGAGCACAAGUGAAAAUACAUGAAAUUAUUGUUCUUUUCGGAAAACUCGAGAUAAGUGUUUUUAAUAUAAUCUCGAGUUUUUAAUAUUUUAUAUUUAACAACACUUUAUCACACUCACAACCACUUACUCUAAUUUUAUGUUAAAUAAUGUGAAAUAAUCGCGUAUCUUCAAAAGCGUAAACUACCAAAAAAUGAUGAGUCUUAAGUUUGUAAAUAAUGAAAGUAAUGUGUUUUAAGUUUUUAAAACUAAAAUAAUUUAAAUUAAUUAACUCUAAAUUUUUAUAAAUUAAAUUAAUAAUAAUAUAUGAGAUAAUUUUUAUGGUAUAAUAUAAAAUUUAUAAAUUUACGAAUCUGAAAAUAUUAAAUAUAUACAUAUGCAAAUUUAAAAAUAAAAACAGGAUCAAAUCUUAUAUGUUAAAUUUGAGGUAUUAUAAAUUUAUAGAUUUUGAAUAAUCUAAAUUUAUAGAGCUUAAAUCAUAAAAUAAAAUAAAUUUGAAAAAUAUAAAAUAUAUUAUUCCAUGACUAGUCAAAUAAAAAAUAAGAGUAAAAAAAAUGAAGAAAAAUAUUCUAACUUCUUCCUCUCAUCCGUAACAUUCAUUAAUGAUUCAAAUUAUGCUACCCUCUUUGUAAGAAAAUUUUUUAAUUUAAGUUUGAGUUAUUAAAAAAAGCUCCAUUUUUUUUUUUUUGCCCUUUUCACAACUUCUAUUCUGUAACAUUCAUUUGAUUUCUCUUUUAUUCUCUUGCAUUUUAGUAAUUAAAAUAUAUUUGAUAUUUAAUUCCCUAUGUUAAGCUCUGCUUCCUUCACGAUUUCUAAACAUCUUCCUCUUACAGAUGAGGAAAUAACACCCCUAAUCAACUAAAAAAAUAGAGAAAGAGGUAAUUAAUUAAUUUUUUACAUCUAAAUUUAAUUAUUUCUCCUUUCCUAUAUAUUAUAAUUAUGCAUUCUCUUAUAUGUACAUUUUUUAAGAUAAAUUUCAAUUUGUUCGCCCAAUAGUUCAGCUCAUUUUCAUAUUGUUUCUCCGUAUUCAAAAAGUAGCAUUUAAUUAUCCUAUAGUUUUAUCAUUAUUUUUACAAAAAAAAAUCUACUAUCAAAUAAGUUAGCAAAGCAAAAUUUUUUUAUAACCACAGAAUAGUUAAGUGUAAUUUUUUGGACGACAGAAUAAUAAUAAAAUGAAAAUAAACUAAAUCACAAGAUAGCUAAGUGCAUCUUUUUAAAUCACAAAAUGACAAAGUAAAAAUGAGCUGGAUUACAUGAGAGCAAAUUAAUUGUUAUUUUUUUUUUUUUUUUUUCUCUUCGAAGAUUAAUCCUAUAUGGAGAAAUGUAAACAAAAGUAGAAGAUAAUAAUCACGUAGGAAAAGGUGAAAGAAUAUGACCUACAUGCUUAUCACUAUGUUUAUUCUCUCCUAUUUUUUGGUCAACCUUUUUACGUCGGUGCGGUUGUUGAAGCAAUUGAAAUUAAAACAUCGUGUAUUAGUUUCCACUAAGUAAUUAAAUUAUUUUUUCCUUGUUUGUUCUAAAAUAUCCUUAAGAAAAUGAGAAAUAAUUCGGUACUUUUAAAAAAAAAAAUUAAAAAAGAUCUCAACCGUUGAUUAAUUGAGGGUAAAAAUGUAACUUUAAUACUUAGCAGGUAAAAUGAUUAUUUUAUUCAAAGUUAGUCUGGUAAUUAAAUAAUAUAAUAUUUAAAGAAACUUUUAAUUGAGGUCCUAAAUUUAUGCAUUAAUUAGCACUAAUUUAGAAAAUUAAUUGAUUAACCAAAUUUAUGCAAUUAUUAGGCAUUAAUUUAGGAAUCUACUUUAAACAUUUUAGUGUUUCUCAAAUUAUGCAUUAAUUUAAAUUAUAGAAAUUUUAGAAAUAGUUUUAUUUCUAAAUACGAUGAAUUUAAAUUUUAAAAAUUAAAUACUUAAAAUUUAAAAGUAAAAUUUAAAUUAGAGGAAUUUCAUAUUACUAUUUAAAAACUAAAUUUCUACCAAGAUUUAAAAUAUAGUUUAUUCGCACCAGUUUAAAACGUAACGCAUAAAAAACUUAGAGAGUAAGAUUUCUACAACUAGAUUUCUCUAGAGGAAUUUCAUAUUACUAUUUAAAUUUUAAAUUCAAUGAUUUAAAAACUAGAUUGAACCGAUUGAUUUGACUGAUCAGACUUUGACCUAUUCUAUCAAGAAUCUGAUUUUAACCUAUUGAACCGAAUAACAUUAAGAACAAUUUGGAACCGGUAAAGAUAAUAAAUAUUUUAAACAGAAUGAUAAUUUAACUGUUAGAGCUAAUAAAUAUUUUAAAUAUAAUUUUAAACAUAUAAAUUAAAAAGAUUAGAAUUAUUGGUGAGAAAAAAAAUAGUUAGGAAUUUGAAUUCGAAUCUGACUAACAAUCACAAAACUUAUUUCCGAACUCGACGGAUUUCAAAAAUCCAUAUCCAAAUUCAAAACUGACCAAUUUUUCGAAACCCAAAACCAAACCUAAACCAGAAGACUAGAAUUCAAACAAUUAUUUUUAUUUACCAUAUUUCAAAGUAUUUAUAUGAAAAUUAAAAUUUUAAAAUAUAAAUUUGGAUAUAAUAUUAAAAUUUAAAUUUAAAAGUGAAAUUUAAAUUAGAGGAAUUUAUAUUACUAUUUAAAAUUUAAAUUUAAUGAUCAUAUUGUCAAAUCAUUUGAAAUUUUCUUUACAUAAAAUGCCAAAUUAUGAAAGGAAAGAUAGAGAGAGAAAAAGGAAACAAAGAAAAAAUAAAAAUUUUGAACAUAUUGUCAAAUCAUUUGAAAUUUUCUUUACAUGAAAUGCCAAAUUAUGAAAGGAAAGAUAGAGAGAGAAAAAGGAAACAAAGAAAAAAUAAAAAUUUUGAAAAUAUAGUAGAUGUAAAAUGACUAAAUUGCCCAUGUAUUAAAAGACAAAAAUAUCUUUUUUUGAGGUACCUGGUAACCGGUAUCUCUCCCAAAGUAACCUGCUAUUGCAGGUCACAAUUUUAAAAAAACUAAAUUUGAGCCAUUGAAUACGCGUGAAUGAACGGUAACAAAAAAAAAAAAAGUAUAGAAGUAUUACUCUAAGAAAAUUAUUUUGAUAUAUAGGUAAUCAAAUUAUACUGAAAAAAAAAAUAAUAGUGGUAACUACAAUCAAUGUUUGUUUCUUUUUAUGUUUUAUUGUAGGAAAGAAAACGUAGAAAGUUACAAUCAAAGCAUCGAAAAGAAUUCACAGCUGCCCGCAUCUAUAAUCUACACUUUGUCAUAUACGAAGUGCACGAAGUUUGAACAAAUACUAUUACUAAUUACACCAGUAAUUCUCCAUUGAUGAGGUGUUUAGUACUCGUCGAAUGUCAAGAGUCUCACCCUCGUCGCCAUAGAUAAUGUCUUUGUUUUAUUGCGCAUCUUCGUCAUAUAAUUGUGCAGUUUUCUCGAAAUUUUUAUUAUUUUCGAGCUCGUCCAUGAGUGUAACGAUUCUCUUACUUAGGCAUUCCCAUGCAAAGCGCCCAAAUUCUUGGCACUUGUAGUACCCUUUUUUAUUGGAGUUAGAAGAACUCGGUCAAGUCGAUGUUGCCGUUGUAUCUUGCUUCGUUGGGGGCUUUUGGGUUGAUGCUUUUCGUUGGUACAAAAGAAUGAAAAUUAUCGACGAGUCAAUUAAGCCGAGACACGAAAAUAUCGUUCUUUUUAAAAAGAUUCAAACCUUCUGCGGUUGACACAACCUUUGAAUUGAUACAGCAGAACACUGACUUGUGUCCUCCAGAAUAUAAUGACUUGACCUUCAUCGUUUGACUUCAUCAACUCUGCACAAAUUGAUAAGCCCAAAACUUUACAAAAAAAAAAGCCUUUUUUUAGCAACCCUCUCUCUCUCUCUCUCUCUCUCUCUCUAAUAUAACAGAAAUAGCUUUUUUUUUUUUGUUGUUUUUCAUUGUGUCUCCAAAGUUAUAAAGAAGCACAAUAUAUAGGCAUUCAAUGCGUUGUUUUUCAUUGUGUCUCCAAAGUUAUAAAGAAGCACAAUAUAUAGGCACCAUAGGCCUAGGGUUACUAGUAUUAAAUGCUGAAAGGUUAUAAUUACAAGACAUAAGUUGUCACAGGUUAUAAGUAUUUAGUGGCAAACCUAAACACUAGAGUUAUAGGAUUAAGAUUAGUAGUAAAUGUACUUACAUUAAAUCUCUUUUAAUUACAAGUAUAGAAGUUAGAACUUGAAGUGCAGAGUUAUAGGAAUUUUACCAUGUAUACAAGAGUAAGGCCCCGUUUGGAUACCACUAAAAACGUAGCAUAGUUAAACUAUGCUACGCUGGUAGGAAAAUAAUCCUAUGAAGCGUUUGGAAGAAAAAGAAAUGACGUAAUUUUUGGAGUAUAGUUAUACUAUACUCCAAAAAAUAGAGUAAACUUACAAUCCACUUUAACCAAAGGAAAAAAUUCCUCCAUUUUGGACUCCCAAAAAUGUAUCAAUUUUUAAAUUUUAAAUUUCAACAUAAAAUUUUAGAUUUCAAAUUUUAAAAUUUUAAAAUUCAAAUUUAAUUUUGAUUUUAAAUUUUAAAUUUUAAAUUUCAAAUUUCAAAUUUCAAAAACUUCAAAUUUUAAAUUUUAAAUUUCAAAUUUCAAAUUUCAAAUUUCAAAAAAAGUUCAAUUUCAAAUUUCAAAUUUCAAAUUUCAAAAAGUUCAAUUUCAAAUUUCAACUUUCAACUUUCAACUUUCAAAUUUCAAAUUUCAAUUUCAAAUUUCAAAAAGUUCAAAUUUCAAAUUCAAAAUUCAAAAUUCAAAAAUUCAAAAUUCAAAAUCAAAAUUCAAAAUUCAAAUUUGAACUUUCAAAUUUCAACUUUCAAAUUUCAAAUUUCAAUUUCAAAAAGUUCAAAUUUCAAAUUUCAAAUUUCAAAAAGUUCAAAUUUCAAAUUUUAAAUUUCAAAUUUUAAUUUUAUUUUUAAUUUUUAUUUUCAAUCUUCAAAAUUUAAAUUUAAACUUAAAUUUAAAUUUAAAUUUAUAAAUAUGUAAAUUUAUAAAUUAUUAAAUUGAAAUUUAUUUUAAUUAUAGAUUUUUUAAAUUUCAAAAUUUAAAGUUUAAAUGGUAUACUUUAAGUUUUAAAUUUUAAAGUUUCAAAUUUCAAAUUUGAAAUUUCAAAUUCCAAAUAUCAAAUUUCAAAUUUAAAACAUAAAAUCUAAUUUACUUUUUAAUUUUUAAUUUUAAAUUUUAAUUUUAUAUUUUUGAAUUUUGAAUUUUAAUUUUUAAAAUUUUAUUUUUAAAUUUUGAAUUUGAAUUGAUUUAGUUAAUUUGAAUUUUAAAAUUUUAGAAAUUUAAUUGUUAUAAAUACUGUGGAAUUGUAUGAUAUGUAUCCAAACAGCUUAAAAAUGAAGCUGUGAAAUUUUUUUGUAGUUACAGGAUUUCGUAUUUCAUUUAGACCAAAAUCAUAGAAUAAAAAUUUCAUGGAGUUUUUUAACUAUGCAUCCAAAAAGGGCCUAAAGGAAUUGUAACUUCACCAUGGAUGCAUAAGUUAUCAAAGAAAAGGAAUUAAUAGUUUAUUUAAUAAUAAAAUGUUAUAACAUUUUUCCAGUCAUAUUAUUAUUAAAAUAUAUGAGACUAUGAUGGUUAAAGAGGGAUCGUUAUAAAUAAUAAAGGUGUGCUCUACAUUGAACCUUCACUUCGUCAAAUAAUAAUCUCUAUUCCAACCAACCGUCCCUAGUGCAAGUGGCAAAGGGCAACAAAAGGCUGGUUGGUUGGUACCUGAGGUUUCAAGUUCGAAUACUAAUUGAUUACAUUUUCAGCUAAGUUUUUUUCUAAAAUAAAUAAAUGAAGCGGUAGUAUGCUACCUUUCUCUAAAAAAAAAAUAACAAUCUCUAUUCCAGAGCCAGAGUGAUCUUAGACUUAAAGUUCAGCUACUUAGGAAAAAUAAAGUGUCACUGCUCAUAUAUAACAAUUCAGGUGCCGACGUGAGUUUUAUUAGCUAGUACGUUACAGGCCUUAUACUUAUGUUUGAGAAAAAGCUCAUUCUCAUAGGAAAUUACCCCACUUCCAUGCUUACAUAACUGAAAUAGCCGUCAAAGGUACUCCUAUAAUUCUAAUACCUUGCUUAUAAGAGAUACAGAUUUCAUUAAGAAUGUAAUAACUCAAACUUCAUUCCAUUACAGAAUGAAUGCGCUCACAUCAUAGGAAUAGGUAAAUAUGUGAUCAUACAAAUCUAGAUAUUGUGUAUUCUUUACAAUCAUCAUAUGAUUCAUUUUUUUCCAUUGAAUCUGAUUUUCAGAAUAUCUAAUCAUCAGGUUGCGUAUCCUCAUAAAUGGCUCAUGAUGUUAUGGGCUCUAACACUAUCUCUCUUGAUGUGCUCCAAAUCCUGUCUCUUUUCGAGUCCUUUGUUAAGAAAUCUACUAGAUCAUCAGUAGAUUUAAUACAAUCUACAUUUAUAAUACCAUUGUUCACAUAUAAUUUCAUAGUACUAUAUUUUCAUUUUACGGAUCUGAACCAUUAUAAUAACAGUUUCUUAUUCUACCAAUAGCAGCGAUGCUAUUACAAUGUAUUAAUACAAAUAUAUAGAAUUAGUUUUUCAGAAAUGGAAUAUCAAACAAUAUAAGUCUCUCAACCAACUAGCUUCCUCGCUAGUUGAAACUAAAACAAUAAGCUCGACUUUCAUAAUUGAAUCAACAAUGAUAGUAUGUUUUUUAAAAUUUCAAUAUAUAGCCCCACCUGCGAAAAUAAAAAUAUAACUAGUAGCAGAGAGAAUCAUCUGAUAGGGUAUUCCAGUCAGCAUCACUGUAAUCCUUAAUUACAACAGGAUACUUUCCUUAUUUAUAAAAAUAUUUAUAGUACUUUUUAGUUUUACAAGGUUAUAAAUGAAAUUAAUUCUUAUAUUUUUGCCUAUUUUAUUCUAAUGAAGAAUGCUCAAAAAUAGGGGUAAAAUGGUAAAAUUCUAUUUUAAAAUGUAUAGAAAUUGAUAUUUAAUUGAGAAGGGCGCAUUCAUGAAACAUAUUUGACAUUUAAAAGAUUGUUCAUAAAAUUUCAAAACUUGAAAGGGGAUUUAUGAAAUUUCAAAACUUUAGGAGGGCGUAAGUGAAAUCGCCCCUUAUAAAAAUUACAAAGAAAUAUGAAUAAAAAUUAAAAAAAUGUAGUACAAUCCAUGAAUAGUUUAGUAACUAUUGGACAACUAGGGGUGUAAACGAGCCGAACACGAGCGAGCUGGAGUCGACUCGUGUUCGCUCCGUUUAUUAAACGAGCCGAACAUGAGCUGGCUCGUUAAAGUAUUGAGCCAAAAAAUUCAGCUCGUGUUCGGCUCAUUUAUUAACGAGCCGAAUACGAGCUGGCCAACGAACAAUAAACUAAAAAUAAUUAGAUUAAAUAUAUAUAUAUAUAAUAAAUUUAUAAAAUCACAUCCAUUAGACUUUAAUCUAAUAGUUGAAACUUUACAUAUAAAUGAGUUUUUUUAUAAUUAAACUCGCAUUUAUAUUUUUAUUUUUCUAAAUAUUAAACGAGCUGAAAAUUUCAGCUCAUGUUCGGCUCGUUUACUAAACAAGCGAUUUGAUCUUGAGCUCAUUUCGGGCCGAACACGAGCUGGCUCACGAACAGUGAGCUGGAUUGCCACCCCUACGGACAACCAUCUAUCUCUAAAAGUUUAAAUUAUUAGUGAACAUUAUGAUUAAAUUUACCUCUUUUUCUCACAUAUCACUGUGAUUUUUUUUUCUAUCAUGGCCAUCAUUGCGAUCCAUAUAUUGCUUAAUAAACAAGGAGUCCAACAAGCUUUGAUUUGAUAUAGACCACUAAAGAUCAAGUUGUGACCUGGCAGUUGAAGUGCCUCCAACGCGGGGUAUAUGAAUACGAGGCUGCACAUCAAAGAGAAACAAAACGCGGUUACGGCUGAAAAAGGCCGGUGCCGACGGAUGACACGUGUAACUUUUUAGCAAAUGACUUGUUUGAAAAUUUUAGAAUUUAAUUCAGGAAUCCAGCUAAUAUCCUUUUAAGAGAAUAAGAAUUUUUGUUCUAUCAAGUUAAUUAGAUGAUCAAAAUUUUGAAUUGAUGAUCGGCACUGUUGUUGAAAUUGAUCUACAGCACUAAUUAAAGAAAUAUAUAGAAACAGAAUAUUGUAAUUUUAGAAAAUUAUUAUCAAGUAUAUCAAAAAGUCAAAAAAUAAAUGGUCAAAAACGAAUAAUCUUACGAAAAUAGAGGUUAGGUUUUCUAAAUUCAUAAACGGAGUUAUCAAAUGUUGUCUAAAUAGUAUAAAAAAAUUAUAAUAAAAUUCAAAUGGUAUGAAUUGCUCUGUAUUGUUAAACAAGUAAACAGCUUAUAUAGGCCGCCAAAAACUGUCAAUUUUGUAAUCCAUUGAUCACAACAUAAAUAAUUUUUAAAAUUUAUGAAAUUUGAUUUAUAAAUACUUUAAAUACCAGAUGAACUUUAACGAUUCCGAUCAUCGAUUCAUAAUCCAUAUCAUCUAAAACGACUUGAUAUAAUAAAGUCUUCCGUCCUCCUAAAAGGAUAGUAGCUGAAUUCUUUAAUUCAAAAUAUUUUUUAGGAGUAUUAUACAUGCUCUCAGAAUUUAUAACUUUAUAUUAAAAAACAUUUAUAUUUAAGAUGUUUUGAUCACUUCAAAUUAUUCUGAAUUUUAUAAAUAAUAACUUGGCCUGGAUGUAUUAAUUGAACUCACAUUACUUCAAAAUUUUAUAUGUUUGAGCUCCUUUUCAUUUUUUUUUUUCUAAAUUGUAUAGAAACAAAAUUAUGUUGUUGUAUUUUGUAAUCCUCCAAGCUAUCUAAAUAUCUCUUUUGGAAAAAAAUAACAGUGCGCGCCAAUCAAAAUACCCUGAUGACAGUGUGGAAAUGUAGUGUUUAGAAGUAUUAUUUCUGUACAGACUCAAAAAAUUUAAAAUCGCUUUCAUCUUUCCUCAUGUUAUGUUAACGGUGGUGGCCGCCAUCACAAAGCUCCUCACCGAUCUGACUACACCGCACUUUCGUAGUGUCGAAAAUGAAGAUAUUAAUAGUAUUCCAAGGGCUGAAAGCUCCUCACCGAUAUGACUACACCAAUCUGACUACAUCACACAUCUUUUAGUCCAAGAACAGAAAAUUUAAUAGCACCAAAUCAUUAAUUGAUGCUAUUAAUAGUAUUCCAGCCUAGUUCUAUAUAUAUAUAGAGUUGAGCUGGAAUGCUAUCGGUAGCAAACGGAUUCCGUUGCCACCCAUUUGUUUUCGAUGAUGGAGCAUUCAAAUCGACGAUCGGCACCGUUGAACAUGACCUAUAUUACUUGAAGUAUCUAGAAAUCAAAUUUUAAAUCUUUUCAACAUCAUUGACCUAAUGAUCAAAAGGUUUUAAAAUUUGUAAUUUUAAUGGUCGAUAUAAGGCGUUUUCUCGUUUAACGGUGUAAAGCUAUCUAAAUCAAUUGAAUUUGGGUUAAAAAAUUCUUUAAACUAUUUAGAACAAUAUCUAUAAUCUCGAUCUUGAUUACAAAAUUCCUAUCAUCAUUUUUUAAAGGAUAUUCAUUUUCAGCCGUUCAUUUUUACGCCCACUUGAUGAACAAGAGAACAAUAUUGGAAAAGCAUGAAAUUUGAUUUCUAGAUACUUCAAGUGGUAUAGAUCAUUUUCAACGGCACCGAUCAUCGAUUUUGAGGCUCCAUCAUCGAAAACAAAUGGGUGACAAUGGAACCUAUUUGCUACCGAUAGUAUUCCAGCUCAACUCUCUCUCUCUCUCUCUCUCUCUCUCUCUCUCUCUCUCUCUCUCUCUCUCUAUAUAUAUAUAUAUAUAUAUAUAUAUAUAUAUAUAUAUAUAUAUGGCUAAAUUACAGAAACCCUCCCUAUCAAUACCCG